UGAGUCUUGGUUGCAAAGUGUGGCUGCUC
rnacentral:piRNA from 1 species